GUGCUGUAGACUCUGCCUUAGUUGUGUUUUCCUGGAAGGAGACCCUGAGACAAGGAUUCAAGUGGGUCAAUCCACCUUGGGGCUGGGGAAAAAGCACUGGAGGAAGGUUCAGUCGGUGUGAGUUACGGCCUCAGUUCCGUGAGACGGCGCCGGUACUGGAAGGAACAGCAGGCUUGGACCCGAGAGAUCUUGUCUACAAAUACGUCUUUUUACAACACAUCAUUUAACUUUUCUUGCCUCCAGUUUAUUAAGAUGAACAGACUAAGUCCCAGCAAGUCUAAAUCACCUAUUCAAGAGCUUCCAGCAGGUCGCUGGCAGAGCAGGAGCCAUCCCAUCUCAUAAUGUGAUUCUUAGGUCUAUGAACUUGAGAAGCAAUGAGUCAUGGGCCUGCUACCCAAAUCGAAGGUGGGUUUUCCUAGUGAAAUGUGCAAUAGUGACAUUAAGCAAUGCUGAUUCAAGAAGUCAGUCUCAUGCUUGGUUAAACUAAAAU
rnacentral:lncRNA from 1 species